rnacentral:tRNA from 1 species
AAGGAAAGAAGAUCAACUUUAAGCCGCUAACUUAAAAGUCUAUGGGUUAAACUCCUAUGUUUCCUUU